UACGUAGGGGGCAAGCGUUGUCCGGAAUCAUUGGGCGUAAAGCGCGUGUAGGCGGCCCGAUAAGUCCGCUGUGAAAGUCGGGGGGCUCAACCCUCGAAUGCCGGUGGAUACUGUCGGGCUAGAGUGCGGAAGAGGCGGGUGGAAUUCCUGGUGUAGCGGUGAAAUGCGCAGAUAUCAGGAGGAACACCAAUUGCGAAGGCAGCUCGCUGGGACGUGACUGACGCUGAGACGCGAAAGCGUGGGGAGCAAACAGG
rnacentral:rRNA from 1 species